GAUGAAGAACGUAGCGAAAUGCGAUACUUGGUGUGAAUUGCAGAAUUCAGUGAAUCAUCGAAUCUUUGAACGCACAUUGCGCCUGCCAGCACUCUGGCAGGCAUGCCUGUUCGAGCGUCAUUUCAACCAUCAAGCCCUAGGCUUGCGUUGGAGCCCUGCGGCUGCCGCAGGCCCCUAAAAGCAGUGGCGGGCUCGCUAUCACACCGAGUGCAGUAGAUUACUCUUCGCUCAGGGCGUGUGGCGGGUUCCAGCCGUGAAACCCCCUACUUCUCAAGGUUGACCUCGGAUCAGGUAGGAAUACCCGCUGAACUUAAGCAUAUCAAUAAGCGGAGGA
rnacentral:misc_RNA from 1 species